rnacentral:rRNA from 1 species
GAAGCACUUUACCAGGGUUUGACAUAUCGAGAUCGGGCCAGAAAUGGUCAUCUCUUUGGACACUCGUAAACAGGUGGUGCAUGGUUGUCGUCAGCUCGUGUCGUGAGAUAUGGGUUAAGUCCCGCAACGAGCGCAACCCUCGUUCUAUGUUGCCAGCACGUAAUGGUGGGAACUCAUGGGAUACUCCCGGGGUCAACUCGGAGGAAGGUGGGGAUGACGUCAAAUCAUCAUGCCCCUUAUGUCUUGGGCUUCACGCAUGCUACAAUGGCCGGUACAAAGGGCUGCAAUACCGCGAGGUGGAGCGAAUCCCAAAAAGCCGGUCCCAGUUCGGAUUGAGGUCUGCAACUCGACCUCAUGAAGUCGGAGUCGCUAGUAAUCGCAGAUCAGCAACGCUGCGGUGAAUACGUUCCCGGGUCUUGUACACACCGCCCGUCAAGUCAUGAAAGUCGGUAACACCUGAAGCCGGUGGCCUAACCCUGGGAGGGA